CCCAUUUUCACACCAAACGGGGUGAAAUUUAAGUUCACAAAUACAAUUCCCCUUCACAUUCACACUUUCCCAUUAAUCCUUCAAACCCCACCUCAUUAAUUCCCCUCCAAUUCCCAAAACCCCCAAAUUCCAGAAUCUCCAAAAUCAUCUUUUAAUUCAAUCCAAUUCGACCCAAGUUUCAAACUUUCAUACAAUUCAAAAAUGACCCAUGAAAAUAAUGGUCCAAUUGCGCACAUAAAGGGGUAUAAUGAUUCGAACCUUGGCAGAUGCUUCAAAAGAACAGAGGACACUUGCACCGCUUCAGAUCGUUCACUGCUUGUGAGUUUGUCUUAACGAAUGUUACCACCAUUAUAGUUACAGUUUAUGCCUAAAAGCGGCUUAUUGAGUUGCAGGAUCAUGAAGAGCAUAUGCUAUUGUUAGAGUAACAUGAAGGUUUGAUUCCCUGAAACUUGAGAGGGUAGAGGUCUUUUGUAACCCUUUUUCCUGCUUCUCAAGCCAUAUUGGCGCGUAAAGGUGAAACCAUGGCAAACUCGUGAAACUAGUAACCAAAAAAAGUUUGUACAACAGAAUUUGGCAAUCUCAUUUUUUGUUUUACUUCUUGUAAAUGUUCUUCCCUUGUAUAUAAUAGGUCUUCAAUAUUCAUAUAUAGGCUUAGGGAGGUUGCUUCUAACAUCUAACUAGACUAUUUUUGGUAUCGUUGAAGCGAUAAAUGCUUUUAGAGUUUUAGGUGGAAGAAAAGUUGUUCGGCUCCGAUAUCAAUAAUAGAAGGGAUUCAGAAGUUUAGGCCUUUUCAAAGUACUUUGGCCAUCAAUAAUAAAGGAUGUUUUGAAUUU